GAUGAACGCUGGCGGCGUGCCUAAUACAUGCAAGUCGAGCGAACAGACGAGGAGCUUGCUCCUCUGACGUUAGCGGCGGACGGGUGAGUAACACGUGGAUAACCUACCUAUAAGACUGGGAUAACUUCGGGAAACCGGAGCUAAUACCGGAUAAUAUAUUGAACCGCAUGGUUCAAUAGUGAAAGACGGUUUUGCUGUCACUUAUAGAUGGAUCCGCGCCGCAUUAGCUAGUUGGUAAGGUAACGGCUUACCAAGGCAACGAUGCGUAGCCGACCUGAGAGGGUGAUCAGCCACACUGGAACUGAGGCACGGUCCAGACACCUACGGGAGGACGCAGUAGGGAAUCUUCCGCAAUGGGCGAAAGCCUGACGGAGCAACGCCGCGGGAGUGAUGAAGGUCUUCGGAUCGUAGAACUCUGUUAGUAGGGAAGAACAAAUGUGUAAGUAACUAUGCACGUCUUGACGGUACCUAAUCAGAAAGCCACGGCUAACUACGCG
rnacentral:rRNA from 1 species